CUUUAUUUGUGUGUGUUUGGUUGUGACUUUGUUAGCAGAGGUGCUCCGGAUCGACUGCGGUGGUGGUCCCGGUGCAUGCUGCGAUGUGACGCCGCUUCCCCCUGCUCGCGUCCGGGCCGGCUAACUCGCUAAGGACCCGAUCCAUGUCCACAUCUCCACGGUCACAGGACUCGGCUUAGUGCGGUAGCCGCGGCGCUCGGUGUGAUUUUCAUGCUUGUGGCUCAUAUUCAACCCCGGGUGUCAAAAUCGCGCCGAUGGAGGCAUAGUGACGCGCAUUGUGAGCCGCCGCCGCCGCCGCCGCCGCCUAAUCCGAACGGCGGAAAGCUGACAUAAUGAUCCUAAGCCGCCUUUGCCGCAAAUCGUUGCGGAAUUCAAAACUUAUCCUCCGCUCUGUGUUUCUAGAUGUGCACCUUGUCCCGCGCCACAAACUUUCACAAGCUGGACUCGAAGCCGUGCAUGCGAGCUGCUCCGCGUGAGGACAUUUGGGUGAGUUGCUCGACGUCAACUCAGAGAAGGGAAGUCAUUAUUUGGGAUGGAAGGAGAUGGACAUGCUAGGGAGGGGCUGUGUGUGUGGGGGGGGGGGGGUGCAGGUGGGGCUCCUCCUCGUAGUGGAAGUAAAAGGCGGUAUUUUCACGCUGGGGUUCAAGCUGCAAGCCUUCAAUACGCCUCGCCCCAAAUGAAGUCACUAGUGAAGGGCUUAGCAGAGGCGCAUAAUGCAAAGCCUCCUUACCUGACCGGCGCUCCAAUUUCCUAGCGCGCCACUCCAACGUCAAGCUGCGGGUCUUAUCUGACAUUCGUGCAGGACACCUUUUUUUUUUUGUUUUCAACCCUCGCAGGCAAUUCGGAAAUCGCUGCUAGAGCGGACAAGAGAUGUAGCCACGCACGCGCGCACGCGCGCACACGCAGGACCCUGCUUGGCCACACAGUGCGGCAGCACACACGGAGGGAGCAUACGCAUCAUCAAUACGCGCUUGUAAUGCAGCGUUGCAUUUGUGGACAAGGUGGGAAUUAUACGGCGGCCCCACAAUUAAAGGAAGAUUGUUCCUGGGUCCUCCGUGCCACAAGAGGGAGUCACCUGCUCACCGCCAGAGUCCACCUACGAGCACAGACCUGCAGGCAACACCUUUUGCUCUUCUUUCUGUUAUUCGCAAGGUGCUGAAGUCAAACUUUGAGCGAGCCUGAAAAGUAGCAGUAAACAUGAUCGGCUUCCUGCUCUCGAAAGACCCAACAGUCUAUCUCCCUGGUCAACACACCUGUCCCACGUUUUUCCUAAGAGCUGACCACUUCGGCGCCCAGCAACAAGCAGACUGCCAUCCAACUUGCAACUUUUUUCCUCUGCUUUUGUGAUUGUCUAUUCUGCAAAAGAAAUAAAGCUUGAUUACAAAAAACACUUAAACUCAUCUUCAUUUUUAAACACAUCACCACAAUCCAACAUUAACAAAA